GCAACCCUGCUCCACUUUUUUUACCGAAAGGAAACGCCUUCGGAGAUGACCCGGCCACUCCAAUCGUCUUGCCCUCUUGGUUGUCGGAGGAAGAAGUUCACUACUACACUACCAAAUAUCAGAAGACUGGCUUCACCGGAGGAUUGAACUACUACCGAAGUCUCAAUCGGUAUGUUCCAUAUACAUAGAUACAACUUCCACCUCACUUGAUCAUUGUGAUGGUUUGAAACAUCACCCAUCUUGUAUCUUAUUCACAAGAUUUUUUCAUUCCCCUUGCCUAUACACAUAGAACAAUUGAACCAGAGCCUCUUGUUUGGCUGAGAAUAGUAUUAUUCUGUAAUUUGUUGCACGAACUCAUUGGUGGGUUAAGCAUACGUCACUCUUCUUUUAUUCCUUAUGGCAGAAACUGGGAGCUCACAGCACCUUUUACCGGGUAUCAAAGUAAAGUGCCGACAAAGUUCAUCGUGGGGGACCACGACAUGACUUAUCAUGCCCCAGGUUCCAAGGACUUCAUACACGGUGGGGGAUUAAAGAAGUAUGUGCCAUUGUUGGAGGAUGUAAUUGUGAU
rnacentral:lncRNA from 1 species